rnacentral:lncRNA from 1 species
GUUUCAGCCAUCAUCAGCCCAUGUUUCUAUCUCCAGGGAUAUGGAAAGGAAUGCAGAAGGCAGGGAAGAAACCAAUCUCUGGAAUGCAUAUGUGGUAGUUCAUGUGAUGACAAACAACUGAGUCAGCAUCGUCUUAGGUGUUCACCCUUCUUAUCUCCUUCCUCCUCAUGAAGGCCUCCUUUAGAAGUUGAAAGGUUGCUCUCA